CACAGCUUUCAUUGAGAGAGGACUCUGCCUAGUCCCCAAAGGUGGCAGCUGUUGUACCCAGCUUCCCAAGGAGUGUGUUGAGAGGCCAAUGGUGGAUGGUUGACUCCAGUGGUCAGCGUUGCUGCAGCUCCUGCCUCCAGGUCCCUGCCCUGUGUGAGUUCCUGUCCUGACAUCCUUCCGUGAUGGACUAUGACACAGAACUAGUACAGUUUAUUAUGGCCGGCAGCCAAGGCAGACACUCAAGACAGGAAUCUGGGGGCAGAAACAGAAGCAGAAGCCAUGAGAAUGAUGCUACAAUUAACAUCGUAAUGAGGUGCUAAUGGCAAAGCUCAAGACAGGCAGCUGCUUUGGUUCACAUCUGGCUUCUCAGUCCAGUGAUGCUUGGUGGGAGGUCAUGUUCCUGGGGCCUAUUGCAGGGUCUGACUUCUCAAGAGUCUUGGUACAUGAAACAGUUCAUUGGUGACUGCCCGUGUGCUUUCUGGCCCUACAAGCAUGCUCUUCCAGGCACUGGGCUGGGGAGAGGUACUGGAAAGCUAACACUAUAAGGACAAAGAGUUCCUGGUUUAUAGUUCCCCCUCCUCCCUAGUGGUCCUGAGGAUUGGCCUUCAAGGAUUCUGGGCUAGUAAGAACUCUACCAUGAGCCAUGUCUGUAGCCCCUUCCUUGUCUCUAGUGCCUUAACACAUCAAUUCUGAGAUGUGUUCUGUAGUUUGUUUGCUGGUUUCUUCCUUUUCUCCCCCUAGACAAAGUUUGGUCUAUAGACUCAGAGAUCCAACUGCCUCACUUCCUAAAUGCUGGAAUUAAAGAUGUGUGCCACCACUGCCCAGCCCAGCUGUGUUCUGUAGUUUUUUAGGUUGCACUAAGCAGAAUUAAGCCCAUCACACACACACUAACCCCUCAUUAAUGUACCCUUCAACAAUUAUCCUUCCCUUCUCUCAACUCUUCCACUCCUCAGGGUGCCUCUUUGAGGUCACCCCCUAAAUAAACUUUGCACUCUCAAGUUUUGGUCUUGGAG